ACCCAACACCAAGCAGCCUCAGACACCUCUGGGGGGCAACUACCUGCCUCCAGGCUUACUUGCUGUUUAGGGGAAGCCAGCCCACCUGGUCAUACUCCUGAGCAACCAGUCCUUCGGCUCUGACCUUGAACCCCCCUGGUUGAACUGCUCUAGCCAAGUGGGCUUUAGAGAGGCUUGGAUGUGGCUUUGAAUCAUGGCUCUGAUACUCCCUAACUCAGUGGUCUUGAGCAAGUCAUUUCACCUGCCUCAACCUUGAUUUCCUCAUCUGGAAAAUGGGAUUGUGUUAAUAUCCACCUCCUAAAGCUGGUAUAAGGAUUAGGAGAGCCUGAGUGUGUAGGAUCCAUAGCACAGUGCUGGGCACCACUCAAUAAAGUGCUCAGUCACUGAGUCGUGUCUGACUCUUUAUGACCCCAUGGACUGUAGCCCGUCAGGCUCCUCUGUUCAUGGAAAUUUUCAGGCAAGAAUAUUGGAGAUGCUUUCAAACUGUGGUGCUAGAGAAGACUCUUGAGAGUCCCUUGGACUUCAAGGAGCUCAAACUAGUCAAUCCUAAAGGAAAUCAACCCUGAAUAUUCGUUAGGAAGGACUGAUACUGAAGCUGAAGCUCCAAUACUGUGGCCACCUAAAGUGAAGAGCCAACUCAUUGGAAAAGACCCUGAUGCUGAAGAAGACUGAGGGCAGGAGAAGAAGGGGGCGACAGAGGAUGAGAUGGUUGGAUGGCAUCACCAACUCAAUGGACAUGAGUUUAAGCAAGCUCUGAAAGAUGGCGAAGGAGAAGGAAGCCUAGAGUGCUGCAGUCCAUGGGGUCGCAGAGUCGGACACGACUUAGCGACUCAACAACUCUAGGGGAUCUUCCCUACCCAGGGAUCGAACCUGCGUGUCUUGCAUCUCCUGCACUGGCAGGUGGAUUCUUUACCACUGGGCCAUCUGAGAAGCUCCCAUGCUACACUUGAUCUUAGUCAAAAGGCAGAGAAGCAAUAAAAUAAAGGAGAAUAAUGUCAUUUGUUACGUCUGAGAGAGGUACAAAGGGCCCCCUGAGUCAUCCUACCAGGCUAUGCCAGCCAGGUGCCCUGUGGGCAAUGGUAACAUAGAGGUAACAGCACAGCUAUAAUCAGAUGAGGGAGGCAGACACUGAAUAAGAUCAUCAUAAAGGGAGAUAAGAUAAGGGAGUGUAGGAAGUUAUAAGGAGGUAAAGAGAGGCCCUGAACUAGUAGGACAGAAAUCAAGGAGGGCUUCCCAGAGGGAGUGGAAUUUGGAAGGAGACUGGAAAAUAACUGAGAGUCAGUCAACCAGGGUAAAGGGGAAGAGUAGCCCUGGCACAGGAAACAGCAACUGCAGAGGGCCUGUGGCAGGAGACAGGAGGACCCUUUCAAAGAAAUGAAAGUACUUCACUGUGCCAUCUAUAGGGGCUUGUGGCACACCCACAGAGAGCUAACACAGAGGGAAAAGAAAGGAAGGAAGGAGGGAGCUAGGAAAAUCUCUCUGCAAUGAUAAGGAAAAUUCUCCAGGACCAUGCCAUCUUUUUAAGAAAGGGAGGAAAAUGUAGGAUACACAGCUGCAUUUGUUUGUAUAUACAGGAAGAAAUAUAAGAAACUGAUCAAGUGGUUCCCCAUGAGCAGGUGUGGGGCUGGGGGCGAGGGGCGGGCACAGAACAGGAAGAAGAGCAACAGGGUUGGGAGAGAGAUUUCUUUUACAUUAUUUUGACUUUCAAACUGUGGUGGCUAGCUAUAGAUUUAAUUUAUAAAAAAAAAAAAGAAGAAGAGAAAACUUUUCUGCAUAAGGAGGAAAAAGCCCAUCCAGCUGCUGUGUUGGAUGAUGGAUCAGAGUGGCUCUCAAAAUCUUGGCCAGGGGAACGUAUCUGAAUCAGUUCUAAUGAGGUGGACGAACCUAGAGCCUAUUAUAUUGAAAAUCUUGCUUCUUAUGGCAGAAGCAACACUACGACUUCAGAGUCUGAGACGCAGCCUCUACUUUGUUGUCACAGACCCUUGCCUCUCAGUCCUGAGCUACCAAGUAAGAAAUCUGCUGAGGCCACCAUACUGUGAGGAAGCCCAAGCAGCCACACAGAGAAGUCACAUACGGGCUUUCCAGCUGGCAGCCCCAGUGGAGAACCGGCCAACAGCCAGCAUCAACUGCCUGGUGUGUGAAUGAAUGAAUCUCCAAAGGUUUCCAGCCUGCAGCCUUCGAUUGUCCUAGCUGAAUUCCCAGGUAUCAUGGCGCAGCAAUAAGUCAUCCCUGCUAUGCUCUGUCUGAAUUCCCAGGUAUCACCCAAAACUUACGAGUGUAAUAAUAUGGUUGUUUUAUUCCACUAAGUUGUUUUUUAUUUUUAAACCACUAAGUUUUGAAUUUUUUGUUUUCAGUUUUUUUAAACUCAGCAAUAGUAACUAGGAUACAUACAGAUGGCAGGCCUGUGUUGACAGUUUUGCGGGGUGCGGGGGGGGGGGGGGGCGGUGGAGAUUUUGCCUUUCUCUGACUCAGAUCUGAGGAUGAACAGGAAGAUAAGUUCCCUUCCCUUUGUUGAUGGGAACAAUUUGUCUAGACCAGCCCACUGCCUAUUUUUGUAAAAAGAAAAAAACAAAAAAGCUUUAUUGGAACACAUUAUCUAUGUCUGCUUACGUGUUGCAACAUCAGAGUUGAGUACUUUGUAUUUAUUAUCUAGCCCUUUACCAAAAAUGCUAGAUGCUUGGCCUCAUGCUAAUAUGUGCUUAAGACACUGUGCUAGGUCCUGGGGGGAAAAAAACAUUAAAGCUGUUGUUUGUUGUUGUUUAGCCACUAAAUUGAGUCCAACUCUUUUCAACCCCAUGGACUGUAGCCCACCAGGCUCCUCUGUCCAUGGGAUUUCCCAGGCAAGAAUACUGAAGUGGCUUGCUAUUUCCUUCUCCAGAGGAUCUUCCCCACCCAGGAAUCGAACCCCCAUCUUUUGCAUCAGCAGGCGGGUUCUUUACCACUGAGCCAACAGGGAAGCCCCAUAGCUGUUGUUUCCUGGGGGCCUGCUCUGCUCCAGACACAGGAUGGGGACAGGGACUGGGAACUGACAUUUAGGAGGGGUAGGGCCUCAGUGAAGGAAAGUAACUUGCCCAGAGCCAUCCACAAAUAAAGAUUUGGAUUCGAGCUCAGGCCCCUCUGUCUCCGUGGUCAAAGAUUUGCCCCCCACCACCCUGACACCAGGCUAACAGGAAACAGCCCUCCAUCCUGAGGGAUGAAUGACCCGGCCCAGGCCUAAGCACGUGCCACAACAGUUCCAGGAACUGGAGUCUGUCACUGAGCCCAUUUUACAGAUGGGGGACCUAAAGUACAAAGAACAGUUCCUUCCCUGCCCAGGCUUCUCUGCCCAGCCCGGCCUACCCCCCAGUCACCCUUC